GUUGUAUUUUGAGCGCUAAAAUGUAUUCCAAACCCCAGAGGUAGUUUUCCGCCAGAUUUAGCGGGAGAAAUUUUCCGCUAAAUCUAUCGGGAGACUUUUUUGUUAGAUUUAGCGGGGACAUUUUUCCGCUAGACGUAGCGGGGAAAUUUUUCCGCUAGAUUUAGCGGGGAAAUUUAGCGGGGAAAUCUUUUCGCUAGAUUGAGCGGGGAAAUAUUUUCCCGCUAAAUCUAGCAGGAAAAAUUCCCCGCUAGAUUUAGCGGGGAACUUUUUCCGCUAGAUUUAGCAAAGAAAUUUUUCCGCUAGAUUUAGCGGGGAAAUU
rnacentral:SRP_RNA from 1 species